GGGGGUGAUCGGUUUCGACGGUGGUCGUGUUUCGAGGAGAAGCGUGCCGAGGAUGCAGACUUAUCUCGUAAACGAUGUCUGCAAAACAAUAGGUGCCGAUUCCAAGCGCACCGACUUCGCACUCGCCGCUUGAGCGAGUUCUGAAGUCCGUUAGCCCAGGGUAGCUUCCGCUCUGGUUCCUAGCGUCAUCUAGGGAGCCACUGCUUGUAACGUUUGUUGUUGGCGUUGCAGGGACUUUUAGACAACUGGGCCUGUCAGCUACUUGUCCGCGAGAGUGCUGAGGCCGAGAAAAUCCAUAGCGGACUGCGCACGGAGAAGUCCUCGAUUUGCGCCAUCGGACCGGGGUUCGAUUCCCCGCACCUCCACCA
rnacentral:tmRNA from 1 species